rnacentral:rRNA from 1 species
CAAAUGACUCUCGGCAAUGGAUAUCUCGGCUCUUGCAUCGGUGAAGAACGUAGUGAAAUGCGAUACUUGGUGUGAAUUGCAGAAUCUCGUGAACCAUUGAGUCUUUGAACGCAAGUUGUGCCCGAGGCCUUGUGGUCGAGGGCACGCCUGCUUGGGCGCCAUGGC